GGCACAAUUAGGGAUUUCAGAAGAAGGGGAUUUUAGAGAGAGAAGGCAGAGAGAGAGAGGGGGUCUCGUAGCAGGCAGCUUGUGGACAAAAUUUUCACCAGACUAUUUGCUAAGACAAAUGAAAGAAUAUGGUGGGCUUACAUAGUUUUCAAUCUGAAUGCUUGCUCGAUCCUCUCCCUCUCUGUUUCUCUCUCUAACAUCUCUGGGCCUAAUGAUUUGAUCGCGGUUGUUUAUCUCGCAAUCACUCUGAAGGCUCCUCUCUCUCUCUCUCUCUCAAUGUUCUUUUUAUUUGAAAUUUUUAAUGAAUCAUACUGUUGCUUUUUAUUUGAUUUUUUACAGAAAUUUAGAGCAAUGGAUUUUCGUCAUGAAAAGGGGCAAGAACCAGUUUUUUUUUUUCCUUUUUUUGUUGCUUGUUUUUAUAAUGUUGGUAACACUAACAUCUUUUUGUCUUGCAAAAUCAUUUUUCAAGAUUUUGAAGUGCGUGUUUGGGAAAAGAAAAAAGAUAAUUUUAUUAUUAAUUUUUUUAAAAUCUAUUUGAUCAGAUUAUCUGGUGUAUUUUUGGAUGUUAUCCAUUCAAACUAAAAUUGGUUUUUUUUUUUUUCAAUCUUGUAAGUGAUAUUUACAUUCUCUCUUGAAGUAUUGAUAUUAAUUUUUGCAAAAUGGCGUAAAAAUUGUAUAACACUCAAUACCCAAUUAAUGAAACAAAGAACAGAUAUACCUAGCAGUCUUUUGGGGAGAGCUCUGCUAUUCAGGAAUGAGACAUGCGUCUUUUAUCCAUAGCCCUGCGAAUGGAUCCUCUGCAAGGUUGGCAAUGGCUAACCUCUAUGGUAGCUCUUUCACGGUGCCACAAAAUGGAUUAGAUGACAUUUCAAUGGUUCUGAUGCUGUACAUAUCUUUCCAAAUGCUACGAAAUUCCCAAUGCUGACUCCAUUCUAAUGCCUCAAGAUGGAGCAGAUGACAAUGAUUAGCUCUAACUUGAUUCUACAGUGAAGUGGAUUUUCUGAUACCUCCAGGGCACCUCGAGUUUGUUUCAAGGAGACUCAAUCAAUCAGUCUAUAUGGCAACUCUUAUGUGAUUCCGGUGUGGAGGAAGUAGAGGGUAGCACAACAGUUCUAAUGUCUGUUGAGUUGUGGUCCUUUUUUUAUAUUAUAGUUUUGGCAACUUUCUAUCAUCAUUCUUUCUUGUACAAAUUGAUGGUUGUUUAUUAGUUGUAAUUUUUUAUUUUUUUUA